rnacentral:rRNA from 1 species
AACGUAGGAGGCGAGCGUUAUCCGGAGUUACUGGGCGUAAAGAGCGUGUAGGCGGGCACGUAAGUUUGGCGUGAAAGCUCCCGGCUAAACUGGGAGAGUGCGCUGAAGACUGCGUGUCUAGAGGCGAGUAGAGGGACGUGGAAUUCCGGGUGUAGUGGUGAAAUGCGUAGAGAUCCGGAGGAACACCAGUGGCGAAGGCGACGUCCUGGGCUUGACCUGACGCUGAGACGCGACAGCACGGGGAGCGAACGGG